GGAAGUAAAAGUCGUAACAAGGUCUCCGUUGGUGAACCAGCGGAGGGAUCAUUACCGAGUUUACAACUCCCAAACCCAAUGUGAACGUUACCAAACUGUUGCCUCGGCGGGAUCUCUGCCCCGGGUGCGUCGCAGCCCCGGACCAAGGCGCCCGCCGGAGGACCAACCAAAACUCUUAUUGUAUACCCCCUCGCGGGUUUUUUACUAUCUGAGCCAUCUCGGCGCCCCUCGUGGGCGUUUCGAAAAUGAAUCAAAACUUUCAACAACGGAUCUCUUGGUUCUGGCAUCGAUGAAGAACGCAGCGAAAUGCGAUAAGUAAUGUGAAUUGCAGAAUUCAGUGAAUCAUCGAAUCUUUGAACGCACAUUGCGCCCGCCAGUAUUCUGGCGGGCAUGCCUGUCCGAGCGUCAUUUCAACCCUCGAACCCCUCCGGGGGGUCGGCGUUGGGGAUCGGCCCUUUACGGGGCCGGCCCCGAAAUACAGUGGCGGUCUCGCCGCAGCCUCUCCUGCGCAGUAGUUUGCACACUCGCAUCGGGAGCGCGGCGCGUCCACAGCCGUUAAACACCCCAAACUUCUGAAAUGUUGACCUCGGAUCAGGUAGGAAUACCCGCUGAACUUAAGCAUAUCAAUAAGCGGAGGA
rnacentral:rRNA from 2 species